AGGGAGAUAAAACCAGAUUGGGUGGAGUGGCUAGGUAUGUUUUUAUUUUUUUAUUUUUCACAAGGCUGGGUCGGAGUAUAUAGGUAGGGGAGAAUUUCAAAAAAAUUGGGUAGGGCUCCUAGACAGGGCUCGACUCGUGCCUGGUGUUGAGGCUCAGAAAUUCAAGGCUGGGCCCAAAUAUAUUCCCGGCCCAAUACGACACUUUACUAAGAGGAAAUCCGACUUGGGUACGCAAGAGUUCAUUGUAUGCGCUCACAUGAGUUAGCGUCCACGUGCCACGCCAAGCAAAUACGUAACCCGUCAUGCCAAAAAGUCAUAAAAGCCCAUAAAAUGUACCAGCUCUAUGAACCCAUGCUUAUUAUCCCGUCAAGUGUCGUUUCGGCCCGAUCAUAUCCCUUUACAAUACGGCAAAAUUCGAGCACGAACAUGCCAAACAACAUGCAAUGCCAAGCGAAAAACCUUUAUUUUGCACCUAGCCACGCAACAAGCUUAAGUGUGCACAAACCACGCAAAUGUCCGGGGCUUACUGACUAGGUUGUCGUAUGGAUGGUUACGAGUAUUCACGAGGCCCAUUGAUGGGCCAAGAAAUGGAAGUUUUGGGCUACUUAGGAGCCCCAAAACUCGAGCCCAUUUCUUGAGCCUAAAUAUGUGGCUAAGUAUGAAAGAGAGAAAAAUGGCCUAUCACCUUAGUAAAUUGGCCCAUCGCUUUAGUAAAUUAGCCCAUCACCUUAGGAAGUGGCCCAACAACUUAGAAAAUAUCUCAAGAAGCCUCCAGCACAUGGUCAAAGCCAAAUCCAAGACAGACCAUCUGUAAAACCAAAGGAUAUUUGCGUGUGCAGGCUGCUGGGAGUAAAACACCUUUUAGACCAACACCUUUACCC
rnacentral:lncRNA from 1 species